rnacentral:rRNA from 1 species
UACGAAGGGUGCAAGCGUUGUUCGGAUUUAUUGGGCGUAAAGCGCGCGCAGGCGGGUAAAUAAGUCAGGUGUGAAAUCUCGGAGCUCAACUUCGAACGUGCGCCUGAAACUGUUUAUCUAGAAUACUGGCGGGGGUAGGGGAAUUUCGCAUGUAGGGGUAAAAUCCGUAGAUAUGCGAAGGAACACCGGAGGCGAAAGCGCCUACCUGGACAGUUAUUGACGCUGAGGCGCGAGAGCGUGGGGAGCAAACAGG